rfam:Felis catus isolate Cinnamon breed Abyssinian chromosome B3, whole genome shotgun sequence.
GCCUGGGUGGCUCAGUCAGUUGAGCAUCUGACUUCAGCUCAGGUCAUGAUCUCAUGGUCUGCGAGUUUGAGCCCCGCAUCGGGCU